rnacentral:rRNA from 1 species
AUUAAACGCUGGCGGCAUGCCUUACACAUGCAAGUCGAACGGCAGCACGGGGGCAACCCUGGUGGCGAGUGGCGGACGGGUGAGUAAAGCAUCGGAACGUAUCCUGGAGUGGGGGAUAACGUAGCGAAAGUUACGCUAAUACCGCAUAUUCUGUGAGCAGGAAAGCAGGGGAUCGCAAGACCUUGCGCUCUGGGAGCGGCCGAUGUCGGAUUAGCUAGUUGGUGGGGUAAAGGCCUACCAAGGCGACGAUCCGUAGCGGGUCUGAGAGGAUGAUCCGCCACAUUGGGACUGAGACACGGCCCAGACUCCUACGGGAGGCAGCAGUGGGGAAUUUUGGACAAUGGGCGGAAGCCUGAUCCAGCCAUGCCGCGUGAGUGAAGAAGGCCU